GUUAGAACACAAGGAGUUACUGAACAUCAAUUUACAUACCAGAUAUUACUGGGCAAGGCCAAAAGUUAUUUUGGUUGUGGCCAGGGCAUAUGUUUUAGACUCGGCAUCAGAUUCAUAAUCAUCAGCUCUUUUUUAUUUAUUUGCCAGCUUGCACACAAUCAAGUUUCCAAAGAACAGAGAAGUGACACAGACAAAACCAAGCCCCCCUCUUCUCAACAUCUUAGUCUUCUAUCACAUCUGCGGUUCAGAAAAACAGUGCUGAUGUCAACAGGAUUGCAAGGGGACAUAACAACCACAUUUCUGUGACCUCUCACACUACACCUCCUUCCACUUCAAUUACAUCUACAGAACUUCGACUGCAUGUUGCCAGAAGUGAACAUUUUCAUCAAGGCCGUGAGGUCAUCUUAACGUGCUGCAAUAAGACUUGGAGUGAAAUGAUCUACACCAUCUGGAAAAUAGACCGGCGUGGAACAGUGUGUCAAAUAUCAUCAGGUGAUAAUGACCAACCUCUUGACUCAUGCAAUGAUGGAAAAGUCAUGCUAAACACAACCAGUGGUGAAUCUUACCUACGCAUUCCUAAGUUCUCAAUCAGUGAUGAGGGAUUCUACUACUGUGAGUCAGUAUACAGAGGAGGGAGCAACUCUGCAAACAUUAAGGUAUCAGUUAUAGCCCCUCCCACAGUGUCUACUUCGCUGAAGUGGGAGGACAAUAAGAGGUUGGCUCUGUGUUUGGCUGAAGGGGGGAAACCAGCUGCCUCCGUCUCCUGGAGGAACCCAUGGAACUUUACUUCAACUACCACAUGGAAACAUGAUGGCUCCAAUGGAGUGGAGAGUCAGUUGGUCCUGCCAGAGGUCAUCCCUAUGGACAACCUGACCUGUGAUGUCAGACAUCCCUUCUGGGUUGAGGUGCAAUCUGUGACACUACCGAUCCCCAAAGGGGCCUUAAUAUCCUGGUUACAUGUCAGCAUCUCCGUGGUAACCGUCAGUGUCAUUAUGGCUACUCUGGGUGGUUUAUACUUCACACGAAAACACCUCUGCAGAAUUAGGUAUGAAUACGAAUUAUUCCGUUUUUUUUACAUCAUUAAUGAAUGCAAACGUUUUUUUCAAUAUCAUUGCUUGUGUAAUAAAGAGCUUUAUCUGUGUAUUCACAGCCCCGCCACACCAUCUGAGUCCAAGGCUCCUCAGGUAUGUAGAGUAUGCACCGUAUCCUGCAUUAUGCUUCAUGUCUUAGCUAACAGUUUACUGUAAAUGGUGAUGAUUGUGUGUGUUUCUCUCUCAGUCACAGGACUAUGUGGAGGAAGUAGAGCCCUAUGCCAGCUAUGUGCAGCGUGUAAACUCCAUCUACAACUCCUCUGCAGACCUGUUCACAUAACACACACACACCACACACACACACACACCCAACCACACACACACACACAAACACACACACACACCCAACCACACACAAACACACACAGACAGACAGAAGGCAGGCAGACAGACAGACAGACAGACAGACAGACAGACAGACAGACAGACAGACAGACAGACAGACAGAGACAGACAGACAGACAGACAGACAGACAGACAGACAGACAGACAGACAGACAGACAGACAGACAGACAGACAGACAGACAGACAGACAGACAGACAGACAGACAGACAGACAGACAGACAGACAGACAGACAGACAGACAGACAGACAGACCUCUGUACACCAGUCUUUACAAAGUUGGAGGUUGAUGAAACUAAGAAAGGCCACAAUGAGCCAGUAAAUGAAACAGGUAGAUAACGGAGGACAUGAUGCAGAGCUUCAGGUAGGAGAGGAAAACCUCACAGAUCACUCCGGUCUGUGGAGGCAGAUGAAAAAGGGAUUCCACCCAGCAGACGUGUGUCACCAGUGCAGACACAGCCCCCACUCCCCCUGCAUCUCUACCGAACCACAGGCCUCUGUCUCAAUGAUAACCUGGAGAACUUACCUCACAACUCAUAAACUUUCCUUACAGAUAACUAUAUAAUAAUGACAUCCUGGAGGCGUGAGAAAAUGGCCAAACAUUAGACAGUUCUACAGAGAUUUCUACAACCAAAGUGACAUGUGGGCAGAUCAGAGAUGAUCUUUCCAGUUUCCUAAUUUGCACACUUAGAACUAUGACUGUGUGUAGUCUGUAUACCACAACUGUAUACCACAGCUCUCAUAACACACACAUUUGACUGUUCUCACACACUUGUGUAUCAUCUGCUACUCGUGGGCAAGAGUGCAAUUUUGAGAUGUUUAAUCAAAAUCAAAAUGUAUAUCACACUGAAGUAUGAUUACAUUGUUUUUGUUGAGUUAAUAUUUAUGAUUGAAUUUAAAUAUCAUGUUUAUUAAAUUUCUUUAUAAUAACAACAUUAGAAACGUACAUCCUGAGCUGAUGGGAAAAGGACGUAAAGCACACACCACAUUCUCUGUGGUUUCAUUCAGGAGAGAAGAGUUUGAAUCUGAGAACUAAGUUUACAACUAAGCUUUUUAAUUGAGUCAGUUGCUUUUGAUUUAGAAAAUGUGUAUGCUUGUUUGCAGAGUGCAAAUUGUACUGUGACAUUUGGGGGAGCCUCUAUUUAAAAUUGUCCUGGUAAAGACGUCAUUUAAUGGUAAAAAUGUAUUACAUUUUAAUGUGGAAUGAACACAACCAGUCACAAUGUUUUCAUCUGUUUGUCAAACAAAUCACUUCUAAAAGUAAGCUACCUGCGGCUGCCCACGUUCAUCCCCAAAAAUUCCAAUCCAAACAGUGCACUGUGCUCGCGGAAUUUGAUUAAUGUAAGGAGACAUCUGUAGUUCUAUUGGUAGUGCUAUAGUUCCUGGGAUGUGUCAGAAAUAUUUUUGGGCCAUUUUCACAGCCAUAAUUAUGAGCGCAAUAGCUGGAGGUGGUGCAAAAGGGCUGCCUUUUGAUGAAUAAACAAGUUGUAGGUGUGCUGAGGGCUUGGACACUCACUAGCCAAUCAACACAUUCCAUGGCUUAAUACUGCAUGUGCUUGCCUCAAGUUUUGUAGGUUAUUGACUGUCUUUGCAUUGUCACCAACUCCAAUUCAGCUGGGGGCACGGAAUAUUUUUGUUCUGGUCCAUUGUGGAUUGAUACUACAGUUUAUUAUUUAGUGUACAAUAACAAAUAAUAGCAACAGUAAAAAAAAAAAUCCAGUACUCAAAAGCCUAUGUUUGGAGUGUUGGCAGUUAACAUUGUUAUAAUUGGCUUCAAUGAGCUUAGCCUACAUGUCUUUACGCAUCAUACUUCACACUUCAUUUCUUUACAAAACAAGAAUAACACCUCACUAUUCACUGCAGUAUAUGUUCACUGCAGUAUAUGUUACAGGAAUGAAUCAGACAUGAUGCAAUAUGCUUCAAUAUGUUUUAUGUCAUUUUUUGGCAUUGAGUGAUUAGAAAAAUACAAGAAUUUGUAUAUACACCAUCUACUGAUACAGAUACAGUAGCAAUGCUAGUCAACCCUGUCUUCUGCAUUUGGCCACAGGUUCUCAUCCACAUCACAUCUUAUGUCAUCUUGGGCAAUACACAUUUGAUCAUGUGGAUGGUGGUCAUAAGCCUUCCACCUCCUUGAGGAAAAUAAUUCCUCUAUGGGGUUGAGGAAUGGAGAGUAAGGUAGGAGGAAAAGCGACACCAUCCUGGGAUGGGCUGCAAACCCUUCUGUGACUGCACGGGAGUGGUGAAAUGCCACAUUGUCCCAUACAAUUACAAACGUUGCCCGAUUUUGCCUCACUGCAAUUCUUUCCUCACCUGGCACAACCCUUCCAUAGAGGUCAUCCAGGAAUGAAAUGAGAUGCUUGGUGUUGUAUGGCCCAAUUAUCAGUUUGUGUAACAGCAAUCCAUCAGAGGAUAUUUUUGCACACAUUGUGAUGUUGGCACCCUUCUGACCCGGGACAUCCACUGUGGCUCUUUUCCCAAUCACAUUUCUUCCUCGCCGCAAAGAUGAAUAUGUGGGGUGUUUGCCUGGCUUCAAUCUCCAUGACUCUCUAAAAUAAAUCCACAAGGCAACAUAAGAUUUAGGCUAUUAUGUUAGUUUACAUUAUACCUAAAAACAUGCCAUUGUGCGCCUCUGCCCUGUUUGGUUUUGAUCAAGGCCAGUUCUGUAUUUUAUAGUCAUCUUACCUGGACAUAUUGGUUCCUGAGUUGCUUGACUUGUUCAGAGUUCCACUCAAAGGGAACAGUGUACAACUGCUUCAUCCUGACUUGAUGUUGUUUCCGGACUCUAGAAAUAGUUGCCAUGCUUACAUUGUGAAUAUUUCCAAAUGUAAUGUUGUCUGCCAACACUGUCCCGAAUAUCUAUGAGUUUUAUGCCAUUGUUUCUGAUUACCAUAUCAAAGUUGCAGUUUCCUGCACAGCAGUGAAAAUCUACCUCUCCCUUUUGGAAGGUGGGAGAAAGGGCUUCCUAAAUAUGAUUAACAGCUGCCUCUAAUUGGGAACCAUACAACCCAGCCACAUAGAAAAUCAAUGACUAGAACACCCCCUAGUC
rnacentral:lncRNA from 8 species